AUUGAACGCUGGCGGCAGGCCUAACACAUGCAAGUCGAGCGGAUGAAGGGAGCUUGCUCCUGGAUUCAGCGGGGGACGGGUGAGUAAUGCCUAGGAAUCUGCCUGGUAGUGGGGGAUAACGUCCGGAAACGGGCGCUAAUACCGCAUACGUGCUGAGGGAGAAAGUGGGGGAUCUUCGGACCUCACGCUAUCAGAUGAGCCUAGGUCGGAUUAGCUAGUUGGUGGGGUAAAGGCCUACUAAGGCGACGAUCCGUAACUGGUCUGAGAGGAUGAUCAGUCACACUGGAACUGAGACACGGUCCAGACUCCUACGGGAGGCAGCAGUGGGGAAUAUUGGACAAUGGGCGAAAGCCUGAUCCAGCCAUGCCGCGUGUGUGAAGAAGGUCUUCGGAUUGUAAAGCACUUUAAGUUGGGAGGAAGGGCAGUAAGUUAAUACCUUGCUGUUUUGACGUUACCAACAGAAUAAGCACCGGCUAACUUCGUG
rnacentral:rRNA from 1 species